rnacentral:misc_RNA from 1 species
AACGCACCUUGCGCUCCUUGGUAUUCCGAGGAGCAUGCCUGUUUGAGUGUCAUUAAAUUCUCAACCUUCCAGCUUUUAUUAGCUUGGAUAGGCUUGGAUGUGGGGGUUGCGGGCUUCAUCAAUGAGGUUGGCUCUCCUUAAAAGCAUUAGCGGAACUUUUGUGGACCGUCUAUUGGUGUGAUAAUUAUCUACGCCGUGGAUGUGAAGCAACUUUAUAAAGUUCAGCUUCUAACUGUCCAUUAACUUGGACAAUUUUGACAAUUUGGCCUCAAAUCAGGUAGGACUACCCGCUGAACUUAA